rnacentral:rRNA from 1 species
CCUGAUCUGUGGAGAAGGAACUCGGCAAAAUGUCCCCGUAACUUCGGGAGAAGGGGAGCCUCUGGUACUUGAUUGGGACUUGCUCCCAUGAGGGAAAGGAGGCCGCAGAGAAUCGGCUCAAGCGACUGUUUAGCAAAAACACAGGUGUCUGCAAAGUCGUUAGACGACGUAUAGGCACUGACGCCUGCCCGGUGCCGGAAGGUUAAGAGGAGGGGUUAGGGCUUAGGCUCGAAGCUCUGAAUUGAAGCCCCGGUAAACGGCGGCCGUAACAAUAACGGUCCUAAGGUAGCGAAAUUCCUUGUCGGGUAAGUUCCGACCUGCACGAAUGGCGUAACGACUUGAGCGCUGUCUCCUCCACAAGCUCGGCGAAAUUGGAGUCUCGGUGAGGAUACCGAGUACCCGCGACAGGACAAAAAGACCCCGUGCACCUUUACUGUACCCUGACAUUGUUCUUCGGCAUGAUCUGUGUAGCAUAGGUGGGAGGCUUUGAAGCGGGGGCGCCAGCUCUCGUGGAGCCAUCGGUGAAAUACCACCCUGGUGAUGUUGGAGAUCUAACCUGCGCCCGUGAAUCCGGGCGAGGGACCGUGUCAGGCGGGCAGUUUGACUGGGGCGGUCGCCUCCUAAAAGGUAGCGGAGGCGCGCAAAGGUUCCCUCAGCGCGGUCGGUAAUCGCGCUUUUGAGCGUAAACGCAUAAGGGAGCUUGACUGCGAGACCUACAAGUCGAGCAGGUUCGAAAGAAGGCGUUAGUGAUCCGGCGGUCCCGUGUGGAAGGGCCGUCGCUCAACGGAUAAAAGGUACGCCGGGGAUAACAGGCUUAUCGCUCCCGAGAGUUCAUAUCGACGGAGCGGUUUGGCACCUCGAUGUCGGCUCAUCGCAUCCUGGGGCUGGAGAAGGUCCCAAGGGUCCGGCUGUUCGCCGGUUAAAGCGGUACGCGAGCUGGGUUCAGAACGUCGUGAGACAGUUCGGUCUGUAUCCGUCGUGGGCGUUGGAGGAUUGAGGGAAGCCGUCCCUAGUACGAGAGGACCGGGACGGACUGGCCUCUGGUGUACCGGUUCUGUUGCCAAAUGCAGCGCCGGGUAGCCAUGCCGGGACGAGAGAACCGCUGAACGCAUCUAAGUGGGAAGCUCUGCCCAAGAUGAAUCCUCCCGGGUCGCAAGACCCCUGAAGGGCCGUGGGAGACCACCACGUUGAUAGGCGGCAGGUGGAAGCAUGGCAGCAUGCGUAGCCGAGCCGUACUAAGGGCCCGUGUGGCUUGACCGG